AAUGAACGCUGGCGGCAGGCCUAACACAUGCAAGUCGAACGGAUCCUUCGGGAUUAGUGGCGGACGGGUGAGUAACGCGUGGGAACAUACCCAAAGGUACGGAAUAGCCUCGGGAAACUGGGAGUAAUACCGUAUGUGCUCGGAAGAGGAAAGAUUUAUCGCCGUUGGAUUGGCCCGCGUUGGAUUAGGUAGUUGGUGGGGUAAUGGCCUACCAAGCCGACGAUCCAUAGCUGGUUUGAGAGGAUGAUCAGCCACACUGGGACUGAGACACAGCCCAGACUCCUACGGGAGGCAGCAGUAGGGAAUAUUGGACAAUGGGCGAAAGCCUGAUCCAGCCAUGCCGCGUGAGUGAUGAAGGCCUUAGGGUUGUAAAGCUCUUUUACCCGAGAUGAUAAUGACAGUAUCGGGAGAAUAAGCCCCGGCUAACUCCGUGCCAGCCGCCGCGGUAA
rnacentral:rRNA from 1 species